UAUUUCCUUUAAUUUAAAGUCAAACAUCAGAAUGGAAGUGGACUUGUUUUUGAACCUCUAUUUUUUUUUACAGAUCUGUUGCAUUAUACUCAACAGUGAGGUUACUUCCUGUGCUCCAGCAAAUCUGCUCUGGUAUGAAGCUGCAUGGCCUCCACAGCUUGGUCCAGAAAGAAAUGGUCAUCUGAAGACAGCUCUUUGUACUUGGAUUGUUCAGCAAAGUAGUUGCUGAUUUCUUGGUGAAGUCACUAUCACCUGUCUUCAGUGAGAAGGGUACAAUAAGGUGUCAGAGAGAGUGCAGAGUGGUCAAUUUUCUACAGAACUUCAUACAGAACAUGGAGGACAAAGAAGAAGGAAUCAACACGGUCUUGUGUUGCUGAAGGUGAAGGUGAAAAGGCAGUACUAAUUAAUGUGGGCAAGUUCUGUCAGUGGCUGACAGGGCAAGCAUACAGUACAUACCACCAAGUCACGCAGACCGGGAAGGUUUCAGUAUUA